AGAGAGCUUGCUCUCUGAUUCAGCGGCGGACGGGUGAGUAAUGCCUAGGAAUCUGCCUGAUAGUGGGGGACAACGUUUCGAAAGGAACGCUAAUACCGCAUACGUCCUACGGGAGAAAGCAGGGGACCUUCGGGCCUUGCGCUAUUGGAAGGAGCCUAGGUCGGAUUAGCUAGUUGGUGAGGUAACGGCUCACCAAGGCGACGAUCCGUAACUGGUCUGAGAGGAUGAUCAGUCACACUGGAACUGAGACACGGUCCAGACUCCUACGGGAGGCAGCAGUGGGGAAUAUUGGACAAUGGGCGAAAGCCUGAUCCNGCCAUGCCGCGUGUGUGAAGAAGGUCUUCGGAUUGUAAANNNNNUNAGUUGNGAGGAAGGGCAUUAACCUAAUACGUUAGUGUUUUGACGUUACCGACAGAAUAAGCACCGGCUAACUUCGUGCCAGCAGCCGCGGUAAUACGAAGGGUGCAAGCGUUAAUCGGAAUUACUGGGCGUAAAGCGCGCGUAGGUGGUUUGUUAANUUGAAUGUGAAAGCCCCGGGCUCAACCUGGGAACUGCAUCCAAAACUGGCAAGCUAGAGUAUGGCAGANGGUGGUGGANUUUCCUGUGUAGCGGUGAAAUGCGUAGAUAUAGGAAGGAACACCAGUGGCGAANGCGANCACCUGGGCUAAUACUGACACUGANGUGCGAAAGCGUGGGGAGCAAACAGGAUUAGAUACCCUGGUAGUCCACGCCGUANNGAUGUCGAC
rnacentral:rRNA from 1 species